GGGGGCUAGAUGGUGACUGGCAGUAGCCCAUAGGCUGAGGCAAGGUGGGGAUAGAGGGUGGGGGGUUCCCCGGGGAGAGGAGACCCAGAUUUGUGGGGUAUUGCCUGGAGGGGCAGCACCCCAGGAAAAAAGGCACCUGUGUCCAGGAGGGACAUGGGGGCCAGCGACGGCAAGACACCAGCAGAGGGCGCUCCAGAGCUGGUAAAAAGAGCUAAUUCCCAGAAAGCCAGCAGGAGGCACCGCAGGGGUGAGUCUCGCCCCAUUACACAUGGGCUCAGUGACAUUCUCUGCAAGGAAGUAUUGGAUUUCCUGCAAAGUAUCUUCAUGAUAAUGUUGAACAAGAAGGAGAGGAUGUGGGUGACAGUCCCAUUGGAACACAAGUGGCUCUAGUUUCCUUGGCCAGUGUGACCCCUACCUUUAACCCAUGAUAGCUGCAUCAGAUCUAUUGAAACUACUGGCAACAACAAAGUUGCAGUGUGAGAAAGCCACAAAACCAACAGAAGAAACCAACUCUAUAGCGGAAACAGCAAAAAGUGACUAUGGACAAAAUCAAAGACGGAAAGUCCCCUAUGUAGAGGAGCAGCACAAUGGAUACACACCACUGAAAUUGUACUUAAGCCGCAAGAUAGGACCUAAGUGAUGCGUAGUUAUGUGCUGACCUUCUACACCAGUGGUUCUCAAUCUAUUUGUUACCUGGGCCGGAGGUUGAGAACCACAGCGCCCCUCUGCACCGAACCCUAUGCUCAGCGCCCCCUGCCCAGAGACCCCUCCACAGAAUGGGACCAGGAGUGGAGUCCUGGGUAGGGGCCGGGCAGCAGGGGCCCCGGACCCUGCGUGGCCGGCUGGCAGCCCUGAUGCCAACCCCAGACCCCAUGGGACUGCCCCUGGACCCUGUGGGGUUUUCCUUACUCUCCUUUAGUUAUAGUAAUCA